GGGCUGGAGCGGUGAUGGGUGACACCAGCGGACUCCAAAUCCGUCGGCGAAUACGCCUUGGGGGUUCAAAUCCCUCCCAGCCCGCCA
rnacentral:tRNA from 1 species